rnacentral:rRNA from 1 species
GUAACGGCGAGUGAAGCGGCAACAGCUCAAAUUUGAAAUCUGGCCCCCGGGCCCGAGUUGUAAUUUGCAGAGGAUGCUUUUGGCGCGGUGCCUUCCGAGUUCCCUGGAACGGGACGCCAUAGAGGGUGAGAGCCCCGUACGGUUGGACACCAAGCCUUUGUAAAGCUCCUUCGACGAGUCGAGUAGUUUGGGAAUGCUGCUCAAAAUGGGAGGUAUAUUUCUUCUAAAGCUAAAUACCGGCCAGAGACCGAUAGCGCACAAGUAGAGUGAUCGAAAGAUGAAAAGCACUUUGAAAAGAGGGUUAAACAGCACGUGAAAUUGUUAAAAGGGAAGCGCUUGUGACCAGACUUGCGCCCGGUGAAUCACCCAGCUCUCGCGGCUGGGGCACUUUGCCGGCUCAGGCCAGCAUCAGCUCGCCGUCGGGGACAAAAGCUUCGGGAACGUAGCUCUCUUCGGGGAGUGUUAUAGCCCGUUGCACAAUACCCUUCGGCGGGCUGAGGUACGCGCUCCGCAAGGAUGCUGGCGUAAUGGUCAUCAGCGACCCGUCUUGAAACACGGACCAAGGAGUCAACCUUAUGUGCGAGUGUUUGGGUGUCAAACCCCUACGCGUAAUGAAAGUGAACGCAGGUGAGAGCUUCGGCGCAUCAUCGACCGAUCCUGAUGUUCUCGGAUGGAUUUGAGUAAGAGCAUAUAGGGUUGGACCCGAAAGAAGGUGAACUAUGCGUGUAUAGGGUGAAGCCAGAGGAAACUCUGGUGGAGGCUCGCAGCGGUUCUGACGUGCAAAUCGAUCGUCAAAUAUG